rnacentral:tRNA from 1 species
GCCCUGGUGGCAAAGUGUUUAAGCACUCAGCUGCUAACUGAAAGGUCGUGGUUCGAACCCACCAGCUGCU